rnacentral:rRNA from 1 species
AGGGAAUAUUGGUCAAUGGACGGAAGUCUGAACCAGCCAUGCCGCGUGCAGGAAGAAGGUCCUCUGGAUUGUAAACUGCUUUUGUCCGGGAAUAAAUCUGUCUUAAGAGGCAGUUGGAGGUACCGGGAGAAUAAGCACCGGCUAACUCCGUGCCAGCAGCCGCGGUAAUACGGAGGGUGCAAGCGUUGUCCGGAUUUAUUGGGUUUAAAGGGUGCGUAGGCGGCCUAUUAAGUCAGUGGUGAAAGCCGGUAGCUCAACUAUCGAAAUGCCAGUGAUACUGAUAGGCUUGAGUACAGUUGAGGUAGUUGGAAUGAGUAGUGUAGCGGUGAAAUGCAUAGAUAUUACUCAGAACACCGAUUGCGAAGGCAGAUUACUAAACUGGAACUGACGCUGAGGCACGAAAGUGUGGGGAUCAAAC